rnacentral:miRNA from 1 species
GCACGAGUGAGUUUUUCAAAGACCUCAAAAUAGCACGAGUCCGAAGGACGAGUGCUGUUUGAGGUAUUUGAAAAACUCACGAGUGC